GUAAAGAAAAAAAAUUAUUAAUAAUAAAAAAAGAAACUUUACAAUCUCUCUCUCCCUCUCUUUCGCUUGUGCCACCCCCCUCCUAAAAUUUUCUUUCAUCUUCUUUGCUUAAGACCUAGCCGCCGCCUGACUCGCCGCUCAUUCGCUUGGAUCCGAAGUCGUCUUCGUCGAAGUGUCGUCGUCCAGCUGCGUCCUCAGCCGUCUCACUUCUCCAGCCGACCAAUCGCACGCGUCCGCUCAAGCCGUCGCCAGUUCGUUCGACCGCUUCGUUUGUGGGUUGACGCCGCUUGGUUCGUGAAGACGCCUUCAACUUCAGAUUUGGACGCGCGCUGCAGCCGUUUUGUCCGCCUUUGUCUGCCACCGUUCUUCCUUUCAUAGUCGUGCGUUCUUCAAAUUUCGCUUUUGCAGUCAUCAAAUUUAUGGGUUUUGGGCAGAUUUGGUGUCGCUUCAAGGCUCUGCUUGGCAAGGAGGGGAUAAGCUUGCUUGAACUAAUUUGGAUUUAUUUUGAGGUAAGUAAUUUUAUUCCUGGAACUGUUCACAGGAUAUAUGCUAGCAUAAUAGAUGAAUAUCAUAACAGAACGAUAGCAUGAUAAAUGGAUAGUAUAGUAUGACUGAUAUAUGUUCUUGUAUGAGAAUAUAAAAGAUUUAUUGUGCACGUAGAUACUUGGAUGAUAAUGUUGAGGUGUAUAUGUAUGUUAUAAAACCAUAUUGUGAUAAUUGUAAUGUUGAGACUGUGAUAGUGUCUUUACUGAUUAGUUAGAUGCC